GUCCUUUGCUGAAAUGGGAGCUCUCAGGUUGGGCUGGACUUUCAGAUGGCCUGUGACCUUAGAGGACUGCUUUGAGCAUGACUCCACUCUUCACUGGUACAUGAAAGUGGUGAGUCCUCCUUCUACCUACAAGCCCUGGUGCUAGACACCAAGGCAUGCCAGCCAUACACCUAGUGCCAAGAAGUCCCACCAAACAGACAAAGCCCUGCUUAUCAUGAGGGUUUGUCUUCAUUCUCUUUCAGGUGAAUUUUAAACAUCAAGGUAACAGCACACCGUCAUGUUAUAAAUCUAAUGGAUACCUUCUUAUGGCUGUACUACUCAACUUAAUUGAUCACUCCGACCCUUCCAAAUUCA